GUGAAGAACGUAGCGAAAUGCGAUAAGUAAUGUGAAUUGCAGAAUUCAGUGAAUCAUCGAAUCUUUGAACGCACCUUGCGCCCUUUGGCCAUUCCGAAGGGCAUGCCUGUUUGAGUAUCAUGAACACCUCAACUCUUUAUGGUUUUCCAUGAUGAGCUUGGACUCUGGGGGUUUUGCUGGCUCACAGUCGGCUCCUCUAAAAUGAAUCAGCUUACCAGUGUUUGGUGGGUAUCAUGGGUGUGAUAACUAUCUACGCUUGUGGUUUUUCCACCAGGUAACCUUCAGCAGUGGAGGUUCGCUGGAGCUCAUAGAUGUCUCUCCUCAGUGAGGACAGCCCUUUGAAUGUUUGAUCUCAAAUCAGGUAGGACUACCCGCUGAACUUAAGCAUAUCAAUAAGCGGAGGA
rnacentral:misc_RNA from 1 species